GCCCAGUUUGUGCUCCCCUCUUGCACAGGCUCAGGAUGUUUAUAAAGGAAAGCCCCUGGGGGAAAAAAAAAAAUUCGAAGUAAGGACCCUGGCCCCCUACUGAAUCACUUAUUUAAACUUCUAAACUUCGCAAAUUGACACAGUAAGCAACAUCCCAGAGGUAAGGGCAGGUCCUCUACGCCCCAGGAUGUAGAACUGCUGAGUUACUUAGUUAAGCUUCUAGACUUCAGGUGGACACAACGUAUCAACCAAUACAGCCUGGGGGCGUUGGGGGAGUGGUGGCAGGAAGGCGCUCAGGGGGCUCCAGGGGAAUCUGGAGAUUCAGUAUUUUGGCACCCGUCAACCAGUAUGUCCUCAGCCCGCCUCAGGAUUUCACUCCUUGCAAACAGAAUCCCACUUUGGUAGAGCAGGCCUGCUACAGCCAAAAACUCAACUGGCUCUGAAACUCUUGUUCACCUUAGAAAAACCUAGAAGUCAGUUUUUUUCUCCCCAGUCAGCAGAAAGUGAAUCCUUUUCUGUGCUACAAUAGAGGCCUCUGGCUUUCACACUUCCCCUAAGCGCUUAAUUGACUGACUCAGCCUUCCUUGUCCUUUGCCAAUAGAUCGCUAAGACCACGCAAGAGCCGUUUGAUUCCACAGCCCUGACAGUAAUUACUACUUUCACUAACCUGUGCAGACUUCCGAGACAUCACGCCCCCAGUCCAUUCUCUCCCCUCUCUCCGAUGAUGAAGAUCUGAACAGCUCCACUUGCACUGCCUGUGUCGUCCUUACCAAUGAUCUGCUCCCAUGCCCUGUGCGGCAGGUGGCCCAGCUCCAGAAUAUCAUCCCAGAGUUUGCUUCCAGGCCAACUGCCUGAGGGUGGCUUUCCUGGGAGACAGAGUCUGAAACGGAACUUCAAACCCCGUGUUUUUCAGAGUGCUCCAGCUCGGGUUCAGGUUCCACGCUGCAGAAGCCCAAGCCAUGGCGUCCACUGUACCAGGCACCACAGGAACUCUUUGGUGACUCACCCUCUGGCAGUGGCAUCAGCGAAUUGCUUGUUCGCCCUUCAGUAAAUACCUACUGAGCACCCCAUUUGUUCUCGGCAUCACGCUGGGACCUGGGCUUUCUCACUGCGCUGCCACCUUCCUCCCAGGCGUGCUCCGCCCCGUGUGGGCUAUGAGAAACAGGACACAAGCGCGAGGAAGCCGGCAUAUAAACACAUCAGAUUCGAGUUUCCUUUGCGUUGUGAGACAGAGUCUAAAAUAAAGGGCCAUCUAAAGUUAAGGAGAGCUAGGUAUGGCGGUGCAGGCCUGUAAUCCCAGCACUUGGGAGGCCGAGGCAGGAGGAUCCUUGUGAGUUCGAGACCAGCCUGGGCUACAUAAUUAGUUCAAGGACAGAAACUAGAGGUGAG
rnacentral:lncRNA from 1 species